rnacentral:rRNA from 1 species
AACAAACGCUGGCGGCGUGCCUAAUACAUGCAAGUCGAACGGGGAAAGCUUUCGGGUGAGUACUAGUGGCGCACGGGUGAGUAACGCGUGGAUAAUCUGCCUUAGAGUGGGGGACAACUAGUCGAAAGAUUAGCUAAUACCGCAUAAGACCACAAGAACUGCGGUUCAAGGGGUCAAAGGUUUUUCGCUCUAAGAUGAGUCCGCGUAAGAUUAGCUAGUUGGUGAGGUAAUGGCUCACCAAGGCGACGAUCUUUAACUGGUCUGAGAGGAUGAUCAGUCACACUGGAACUGAGACACGGUCCAGACUCCUACGGGAGGCAGCAGUAGGGAAUAUUGCACAAUGGAGGAAACUCUGAUGCAGCGACGCCGCGUGAGUGAUGAAGGCCUUCGGGUCGUAAAGCUCUGUCGCAAGGGAAUAACACAAUGAAUGUACCUUGCAAGAAAGGAUCGGCUAACUUCGUGCCAGCCGCCGCCGUAA